rnacentral:rRNA from 1 species
UACGUAGGGGGCAAGCGUUGUCCGGAUUUAUUGGGCGUAAAGAGCGUGUAGGCGGCUAGAUAGGUCCGUUGUGAAAACUCGAGGCUCAACCUCGAGACGUCGAUGGAAACCAUCUGGCUAGAGUCCGGAAGAGGAGAGUGGAAUUCCUGGUGUAGCGGUGAAAUGCGCAGAUAUCAGGAGGAACACCAGCGGCGAAGGCGGCGCUCUGGGCCGGUACUGACGCUGAGGAGCGAAAGCGUGGGUAGCAAAACAGG